AUUGAACGCUGGCGGCAUGCUUUACACAUGCAAGUCGAACGGCAGCGCGGGCUUCGGUCUGGCGGCGAGUGGCGAACGGGUGAGUAAUAUAUCGGAACGUACCCAAGAGUGGGGGAUAACGUAGCGAAAGUUACGCUAAUACCGCAUACGAUCUAAGGAUGAAAGCAGGGGAUCGCAAGACCUUGUGCUCCUGGAGCGGCCGAUAUCUGAUUAGCUAGUUGGUGGGGUAAAGGCCCACCAAGGCAACGAUCAGUAGCUGGUCUGAGAGGACGACCAGCCACACUGGAACUGAGACACGGUCCAGACUCCUACGGGAGGCAGCAGUGGGGAAUUUUGGACAAUGGGGGGCAACCCUGAUCCAGCAAUGCCGCGUGAGUGAAGAAGGCCUCGGUUGUAAAGACGUCUUUUGUUCUAGGGUAAGAAAAGGGACUAGUGGCUAAUAUCCACAGCUGCUGACGGUACCUGAAGAAUAAG
rnacentral:rRNA from 1 species